rnacentral:rRNA from 1 species
CGCGUAGGCGGGCCUCCAAGUCCGGGGUGAAAUCCUCCAGCCUAACUGGAGAAGAGCCUCGGAGACUGGGGGCCUCGAGGAGGGUAGGGGCAAGCGGAACUAUGGGUGGAGCGGUGAAAUGCAUUGAUAUCCAUAGGAACUCCGGUGGCGAAGGCGGCUUGCUGGACCCUUUCUGACGCUGAGGCGCGAAAGCCAGGGGAGCAAACG